ACCUUUUGAGUGAGAAGUUGUGGUACAGAGGUGCUCCAAAAACAAGGUCACCAGUAGGAGACUGGGAACAAUGUCACUAACCCAGGACAGGGUGACAGCAGAUGACACUCUCACCACAGUGGUCCUUCAUCUCAGGAAGAAAAGUAAAGAUGUAGGGAUGGAGAGUUAGCAGGGUCCUGCAUCAGCUGCUCACAAGAGGAACGUCCAUGAUGGAAACGGCAUUGGGGGUGAAGCCUUCACGGCUCAGUCUGCCAUGAUGCAAGACCCAGAAGAUCCCAGCUGAUGAUCAAUUGUUAUUCGUUCAGAGCGGAAAUCAUCUGUAACUGCAUCGUCAGAAGCAUCCAACAUCAUCCAAGACAAUGCACUGGAAUUGGGAGACGGCCGUAAUUUGCAUCCCGUACCGCUCCCCGUGUCCGAUCUUGAAAAAUGGAUUGCAGUGAACCUGCAGCAUAACCCAGAGCACACAGAAUGGAGGGACACUCUGGAUGGGAUGUCGGGCAUCAUGCUACUGUACUGAUUAAAACUGAGUGCAGUAGGGGCCUGGAUACCCUGACAGAUUCAGGAGACCCAGCCCUUGACAGGAGCCCUUGAAUACGUAAAGAGGAGAGGUGGAGGUGAAUGACAUCAUGCUGUGGUUCCCUUAUGAAGACACAUGUUCCUGGGCUGUAGCUGACUUUCUGCAUCAUGCCAGUUUGCCCUGUGACACACAACCUAUUACAGACAAACUCGGAGCCUUUAUUGACGAAAACCAUCAGACUUCCUGUUCUGGGAGGAAAUGGAUUUCUGGAAGGAUCGCUGGGGCCAUGACUGUGCUGAACGUGUGUCAUGCACUGGUUCACUGGGGGCGAGGAAGAAACCAGCACGUUUAUUAUCUGUAUUUUUAUGCCAGUGCAGAGUUAUGUUUCUGGUGUACAGAUGAUUAUUGGGUUUUUUUUUACCGAUUAAGGCCAACAAAUUAUAGCUCUUCUUGAGCAGAUCUGCAACUUUCUGCCACCUCAGUACUCGCAGAGCAUUUCUGACUUAAUAACAAAAAGGUUAAAAAAAAAAAAAAACAGGAAGUGGUAUAAUAACUGGUCCGAUAGAUGACUGCCCUAACAUGCUACCUUCAACCUCUCCUCUGUACGCCUUCCUUAGUUUACAGUAAGAGCUCAGCAUUUUCAGAGGAAAUUUUAUGGGUCUUAUGCGAAGUUUUAUGGCCUCUGACAUAUAAUUAAAGAAACAUCCAGUUCUGCAGCAGCCGGUAGAGGCAUUUUGGCCCCCAGAAUCAUUGCUGGUGAGAUACAAAUGAAGACUGUGUGCAUUCCUCAUAAAUCUGCGGGCCCGUUGCAGCCCGCCAGCACAGUGGAGGCGGUGGGGGGGGUGGAUGUUUUAUGCAACACUGGAUGUAUUCCAUCCCCGGGAUGUCCGAGACACCAUCACCUCCCUCGUCGGUCCUGGCCGAAAUACGCUCAUUGGGGGGUGGGGGGAGAAGCUGGGAGGAGGUAAUUAGGUCUUAAAAAACCGACUUGUCCAGCAGAAGUGAACGAUUGGUCUCAAUUAGAAAGUGAUUUAUUUCAGCCUAUUACUUUAUAAUGGAAUAUGGCAGGCCGAACUUAAUGUCCUCAGUUAUGAAUCACGUCUGGAUUGCACUUAGGGCUGUUAGAGGGCUUUUUAAAAAGAUGAGCGUAAAUUUUCAGGGUGACUUCAGGGUGUUUUUAAUCUGGCGAGCGUAAAUAUGGAUUAAUUUCAAAAGGGGAGCUUUAAGGAACCUCUACAGGAUGGGAGAACUUACUCGUGCAACGGUGAAGUCAGGAAUGCAUUGUAACCUCACUUAGGUGUGUUAUAAACAAAUCGUAAUAAAUGAGAAUUCGAACAUUUCAGAUGAUAUUUACAGGGGUGGGUUAAUGCUUAGACUAUCCUAGGCUAUAGCCUUGGGCCCCAGCAAACGUCAGGGUCUCGUCCCGAAUAGUUAAAUCAACAGCACCUGAGCGUCCAUGGUGAUUUCAGCCUAGGACCCCCAGGUAAGUUAAUCCGCCUCUGGAUAUUUAGUAUGAGACUGCAGGUUCCCUGUACCAGAGAAGUGUUUGGAAGAUGGAUGUUUAUUAUGAAUUACACUGCUGACAAUCGGUACAAGUUUAUAGUGGGCCUGCAGCCUUAAUUCCUAGGCUGGGGAUACCAGUUCAUUGCUGGGAAAACACACUACGGGAAAUUCAGAGAUUCUUUGGACUGUGGCAGGAAUGUGGAGCACCUGGAGGAAAGCCAAGCAACACAAGAAGAGCAUGCAAGCUCCGCACACACUCAGACUGGGGGGAUCAUUCAGACUUGCAUCAUACCUCCUCAUGAUGAUGAUGAUGAUGAUGAUGAUGGAAAAGUGUUUCCUUACUAUACCACCAUAACUCCUGAUUGUGAUGAUUAUGAUGAGGUUAUGAUACUAUCCACUGUAGCACCAUACCUCAUGAUGAUGAUGAUGAUUCAUGAUGAUGAUGGUCAUCGAUGAUAAUGAUGAUGUGCAGUUUGUGGAUCAGUGGGUUAGGAUGCUGUACCUGUAAUCUGAAGAUUGCUGGUUUGACUCCCAGGGUCACCAGUGUUACUUAACCAUUAAGAUCCUGAGCAGGGCCCUUAACU